AAAAAUACGAUUAAUGAAACCCAUGUAAAUACUCGUUGUGAUUUUGGAGAUUGAAGUCCACCCCAAGUAACUAAGAAUGACCAUAAGCCAUUUGCAAAGUGGAACACAACAGCAAUAAUACAAAUAAUAUAAAAUAUUGCCCAUCCAGGA
rnacentral:sRNA from 1 species